CACUUACAGAUGGGCCCGCGGCGCAUUAGCUAGUUGGUGAGGUAACGGCUCACCAAGGCGACGAUGCGUAGCCGACCUGAGAGGGUGAUCGGCCACACUGGGACUGAGACACGGCCCAGACUCCUACGGGAGGCAGCAGUAGGGAAUCUUCCACAAUGGACGAAAGUCUGAUGGAGCAACGCCGCGUGAGCGAUGAAGGCCUUCGGGUCGUAAAGCUCUGUUGUUAGGGAAGAACAAGUACCGGAGUAACUGCCGGUACCUUGACGGUACCUAACCAGAAAGCCACGGCUAACUACGUGCCAGCAGCCGCGGUAAUACGUAGGUGGCAAGCGUUGUCCGGAAUUAUUGGGCGUAAAGCGCGCGCAGGCGGUCCUUUAAGUCUGAUGUGAAAGCCCACGGCUCAACCGUGGAGGGUCAUUGGAAACUGGGGGACUUGAGUGCAGAAGAGGAAAGCGGAAUUCCACGUGUAGCGGUGAAAUGCGUAGAGAUGUGGAGGAACACCAGUGGCGAAGGCGGCUUUCUGGUCUGUAACUGACGCUGAGGCGCGAAAGCGUGGGGGAGCAAACAGGAUUAGAUACCCUGGUAGUCCACGCCGUAAAACGAUGAGUGCUAAGUGUUAGGGGGUUUCCGCCCCUUAGUGCUGCAGCUAACGCAUUAAGCACUCC
rnacentral:rRNA from 1 species